rnacentral:rRNA from 1 species
GAUGAACGCUGGCGGCGUGCCUAACACAUGCAAGUCGAGCGAACAGACCAGGACUUUGCUCCUCCGACGUCGGCGCGGGACGGGACAGUCACUCGUGUAUAGCCUACCUACACGACUGGGAUAACUUCGGCAAACCGGAUCUACUACCGGAUAAUUUAUUGCACCUCAUUGUUCCCUAGUUAAAUUCGAUAUUGCUAUCACUUAUAGAUGGAUCCGCGUUGGAUUAGUUAGUUGGUAGGGUAAAAGCUCACCAAGGCGACGACCCAUAGCCGGCCUGAGAGGAUGAUCAGCCACACUGGGACUGAGACACGGCCCAGACUCCUACGGGAGGCAGCAGUGGGGAAUAGUGGACAAUGGGCGAAAGCCUGAUCCAGCAAUGCCGCGUGAGUGAUGAAGGCCUUAGGGUUGUAAAGCUCUUUUAACCGGGAUGAUAAUGACAGUACCGGGAGAAUAAGCUCCGGCUAACUCCGUG